UACGUAGAAGACUAGUGUUAUUCAUCUUUAGUAGGUUUAAAGGGUCCUAGACGGUAUAAUUAGUCUUUAAUAGGAAACGAUUAUAACUAGAGUUAUAUAUAGGAGGUGAGUAUUUGUGGAGUAGAGUUGAAAUUCUUUGAUACCAUGACGACUGGGUAAAAGGCGAAAGCAACCUUUUUAUCUAAAUAACUGACGUUGAGGGACGAAGGCUCGGGUCGCGAACAGG
rnacentral:rRNA from 1 species